AUGUCCCGGGCAUUUCUUCUCUCCAUCAUUCUGAUCUCCAUUGGCCCCAGCCUUCAACAACUGCAGAACCUGAAGGAUCCAGAAUUUGUGACUCCUGGGGGCACAGUCACCAUAUCUUGUCGAUACGAUGGUGGGAAUCUUGGGGAUGGCAACUACCCUUGGUGGUCCCAGCAGUUCCCUGGGGAUAAACCUCGACUUUUGAUCUAUGCAACCAGUACUAGACCAUCGGGGGUUCCAGCCCGUUUCUCCGGGUCCAGAUCAGGGAAUGUGAUGUCCUUGACUAUCACUGGGGCUCUGGUUGAAGACGAAGCCACCUACUAUUGUUGUGUCUGGACGGGUAGCUGCAAUAGGGGAGAAGGGAUCCGCAAUCGGUUCACUGCCACCCAGUCUGGGACCACAGGAACUUUGACCAUCACCAACGCAGAGGCUGGAGACGAGGCCAAUUAUUACUGUGGCAGCUGGAACACCAGUGGCACUCUGUUCCAUGGGGGUUAA